GAGGCUCCUAAACCAGUUGGACAGGAAAGCGCAGUUCCCAGCUCACUACAGUAUCAUACAGUAAGCUUCUGAUUCGGAUAAAUUGUGAAGAAUAUUGUCUCUAGCUCCUUAAAGGAUUUUCAUGUGGAAGAGGCCUUAAGAUUUAUUAUAUAUGGCUCUAGAGGGCAAAAUUAGAACCUAUCGGUGGUAGUUGUAGCAGAAAGCCUUCAGCGCAACCCAAAGAAGAAUCUGACAUGGAGUGGGCUGUCAGAAAGUUGGCGCUUUGUCAGAAGCAAUGUGAAGUCAAAGGACAGGAGGAGCAAUUUCUAGACUCUGGAUCCAACGGGAAGCAUCUAGAAGCCCCCUUGCUCAGGCAAAGCAUCAGUACCCAAGAGGGGUACAGGCCCUCUUGGACGUGGUGUCUCAUUUCUCUCCCGUGGCCCUGGAGCUUGGCAUUCUGUAUUCUCCGGUUCAGACCCUGGACUCUGACACCCUGCCUUGCUUCAUCUUGAGUUCCGGCUGUCUGCCCAGCCGGACCUACACUGAGCUUGUCUGGUUCUUUCCUGCAGCCAGUUGAGACAUCAUUGUCCCAGGACACCCCCAGUCUACGGGGUUCUGGCCCCAGAUGUCCACCUCUGCCCUGCCCACCAGCAGCCAUGCCAGCCAGUGAGCUGUGGGUGAAAACACUGCUGAUUGCAAAGGACCACUCAACCGUCAGGAAAGCUCUCGGCUCAUAGCUUUGUCUUUUGUCCAGCUGUCCUGGACAUCCUAUCUUUCCUCUAGCCCCUAGCCCUGACAGAGAGCCUCAAAGUUGUUUUCAUCUUAUCUGCUGAGGAUCUGACUCACCCCAUCAGACUUCUGGGAGGGAGAGAGCGAGCGCGCCUCGAGCCCGGAGGGGAGAAACCCUUAGUGUUGUCACGGUUUAGGCACACGCUCAUAGAAAUCCUUGCAGCUCGAGCUCUUCAAAAUAUGAUUAGACCAAUUUUACAUGUCUAGUCACUGAGGCUCCAGUAGAUUGGGACUAUUUCUAUAUGUGCAAAGUGAAGUGGAUAAUUGAGGCAAUUAUCUUCAGGCAAAUGAAUCUGGGCACUGUAAUCAGUCCAUCCUGAUAACUGGGGAGAAAUCGGCGUCAUUCACUGUAGCAUUGCUUUGCGUUAAAGAGAAUUCUAAGGUA
ensembl:lncRNA novel transcript